rnacentral:rRNA from 1 species
UACGUAGGGGGCAAGCGUUGUCCGGAUUUAUUGGGCGUAAAGAGCGUGUAGGCGGCCAUUCAGGUCAGCUGUGAAAACUCGAGGCUCAACCCUCGAGACGUCGGUUGAAACCGUUUGGCUAGAGUCCGGAAGAGGAGAGUGGAAUUCCCGGUGUAGCGGUGAAAUGCGCAGAUAUCGGGAAGAACACCCGUGGCGAAGGCGGCUCUCUGGGACGGUACUGACGCUGAGACGCGAAAAGCGUGGGGGAGCGAACAGG